rnacentral:rRNA from 1 species
UGCGUAGGCGGUCGGCAAAGUCUGAUGUGAAAUCUCCGGGCUCAACCCGGAAACUGCAUCGGAUACUGGUCGGCUAGAGGAUUGGAGGGGGGACUGGAAUUCUCGGUGUAGCAGUGAAAUGCGUAGAUAUCGAGAGGAACACCAGUAGCGAAGGCGAGUCCCUGGACAAUUCCUGACGCUGAGGCACGAAAGCUAGGGGAGCAAACA